UACGGAGGGUGCAAGCAUUAAUCGGAUUUAUUGGGCGUAAAGGGCGCGUAGGCGGGUAUGAAAGUCAGAUGUGAAAUCCCAGAGCUUAACUCUGGAACUGCAUCCGAAACUCCAUAUCUUGAGGGUAGACGGAGAAAGCGGAAUUCUACAAGUAGCGGUGAAAUGCGUAGAUAUGUAGAGGAACACCGGUGGCGAAGGCGGCUUUCUAGUUUACACCUGACGCUGAGGCGCGAAAGCAAGGGGAGCAAAC
rnacentral:rRNA from 1 species